rnacentral:rRNA from 1 species
UGGGGAAUAUUGCACAAUGGGGGAAACCCUGAUGCAGCAACGCCGCGUGAGUGAAGAAGUAUUUCGGUAUGUAAAGCUCUAUCAGCAGGGAAGAAAAUGACGGUACCUGAGUAAGAAGCCCCGGCUAACUACGUGCCAGCAGCCGCGGUAAUACGUAGGGGGCAAGCGUUAUCCGGAUUUACUGGGUGUAAAGGGAGCGUAGACGGCGAUGCAAGUCUGAAGUGAAAGCCCGGGGCUCAACCCCGGGACUGCUUUGGAAACUGUAUGGCUGGAGUGCUGGAGAGGCAAGCGGAAUUCCUAGUGUAGCGGUGAAAUGCGUAGAUAUUAGGAAGAACACCAGUGGCGAAGGCGGCUUGCUGGACAGUAACUGACGUUGAGGCUCGAAAGCGUGGGGAGCAAACAGG